rnacentral:rRNA from 1 species
UACGUAGGGCGCAAGCGUUGUCCGGAAUCAUUGGGCGUAAAGAGCUCGUAGGUGGUCUGUUACGUCUGCUGUGAAAUCCUAGGGCUUAACCCUGGGCCUGCAGUGGAUACGGGCAGGCUAGAGUGUGGUAGGGGAGAUCGGAAUUCCUGGUGUAGCGGUGAAAUGCGCAGAUAUCAGGAGGAACACCAAUGGCGAAGGCAGCUCGCUGGGACGGUACUGACGCUGAGACGCGAAAGCGUGGGGAGCAAACAGG